rnacentral:rRNA from 1 species
AACGAACGCUGGCGGCAGGCUUAACACAUGCAAGUCGAACGGGCGUAGCAAUACGUCAGUGGCAGACGGGUGAGUAACACGUGGGAACCUUCCUCGUAGUACGGAACAACUCAGGGAAACUUGAGCUAAUACCGUAUACGUCCGAGAGGAGAAAGAUUAAUCGCUAUGAGACGGGCCUGCGUCCGAUUAGGUAGUUGGUGGGGUAACGGCCUACCAAGCCGACGAUCGGUAGCUGAUCUGAGAGGAUGAUCAGCCACACUGGGACUGAGACACGGCCCAGACUCCUACGGGAGGCAGCAGUGGGGAAUCUUGGACAAUGGGCGCAAGCCUGAUCCAGCCAUGCCGCGUGAGUGAAGAAGGCCUUAGGGUUGUAAAGCUCUUUUGCCAGGGACGAUAAUGACGGUACCUGGAGAAUAAGCCCCGGCAAACUUCGUGCCAGCCGCCGCGGUAAGAC